UACAGAGGGUGCGAGCGUUAAUCGGAAUUACUGGGCGUAAAGUGUGCGCAGGUGGCCGCGCAAGUCGAGUGUGAAAUCCCCGAGCUUAACUUGGGAAUUGCGCUCGAAACUACGUGGCUCGAGUGUGGCAGAGGAAGGUGGAAUUCCACGUGUAGCGGUGAAAUGCGUAGAGAUGUGGAGGAACACCGAUGGCGAAGGCAGCCUUCUGGGCCAACACUGGCGCUCAUGCACGAAAGCGUGGGGAGCAAACAGG
rnacentral:rRNA from 1 species